rnacentral:tRNA from 1 species
GCCAGAGUAGCUCAAUUGGUGGAGCAACGCACUCGUAACGCGUAGGCCGUGGGUUCGACUCCCAUCUCUGGCU